rnacentral:ncRNA from 2 species
AAAAGCUACUAGAGGUGCCUGUUACAGGCUGAGAGAAAAGCACAGGGCUUUUCAACUCUUUGAACCUGAUCUGGUUGAUACCAGCGUAGGAAAGUAGAGCGUUUAUUGA